AGAUUAAGCCAUGCAUGUCUAAGUAUAAGCAAUUAUACAGCGAAACUGCGAAUGGCUCAUUAUAUAAGUUAUCGUUUAUUUGAUAGUACCUUACUACUUGGAUAACCGUGGUAAUUCUAGAGCUAAUACAUGCUAAAAAUCCCGACUUCGGAAGGGAUGUAUUUAUUAGAUUAAAAACCAAUGCCCUCUGGGCUCUCUGGUGAUUCAUGAUAACUUCUCGAAUCGCAUGGCCUUGCGCCGGCGAUGGUUCAUUCAAAUUUCUUCCCUAUCAACUUUCGAUGUUUGGGUAGUGGCCAAACAUGGUUGCAACGGGUAACGGAGGGUUAGGGCUCGACCCCGGAGAAGGAGCCUGAGAAACGGCUACUACAUCCAAGGAAGGCAGCAGGCGCGCAAAUUACCCAAUCCCGACACGGGGAGGUAGUGACAAUAAAUACUGAUACAGGGCUCUUUUGGGUCUUGUAAUUGGAAUGAGUACAAUUUAAAUCCCUUAACGAGGAACAAUUGGAGGGCAAGUCUGGUGCCAGCAGCCGCGGUAAUUCCAGCUCCAAUAGCGUAUAUUAAAGUUGUUGUGGUUAAAAAGCUCGUAGUUGAACCUUGGGCCUGGCUGGCCGGUCCGCCUCACCGCGUGUACUGGUCCGGCCGGGCCUUUCCCUCUGUGGAACCCCAUGCCCUUCACUGGGUGUGGCGGGGAAACAGGACUUUUACUUUGAAAAAAUUAGAGUGCUCCAGGCAGGCCUAUGCUCGAAUACAUUAGCAUGGAAUAAUGAAAUAGGACGUGCGGUUCUAUUUUGUUGGUUUCUAGGACCGCCGUAAUGAUUAAUAGGGACAGUCGGGGGCAUCAGUAUUCAAUUGUCAGAGGUGAAAUUCUUGGAUUUAUUGAAGACUAACUACUGCGAAAGCAUUUGCCAAGGAUGUUUUCAUUAAUCAGGAACGAAAGUUAGGGGAUCGAAGACGAUCAGAUACCGUCGUAGUCUUAACCAUAAACUAUGCCGACUAGGGAU
rnacentral:rRNA from 2 species